GGGUCCUACGGGGGGCAGCAGUGAGGAAUAUUGGUCAAUGGUCGGGAGACUGAACCAGCCAAGCCGCGUGAGGGAUGAAGGUACAGAGUAUCGUAAACCUCUUUUGUCAGUGAACAAAGGCGGGGACGCGUCCCCGGAUGAGUGUACCUGAAGAAAAAGCAUCGGCUAACUCCGUGCCAGCAGCCGCGGUAAUACGGAAGGUCCGGGCGUUAUCCGGAUUUAUUGGGUUUAAAGGGAGCGUAGGCCGCAUGUCAAGCGUGCUGUGAAAUGUCCGGGCUCAACCCGGGCCUUGCAGCGCGAACUUG
rnacentral:rRNA from 1 species